GAACGAAGCACAGAAAGCAGAUUACUUCGCGUUUGAAGCUUUCUGUGACUGAGUGGCGGACGGGUGAGUAACGCGUGGAUAACCUGCCUCACACAGGGGGAUAACAGUUAGAAAUGACUGCUAAUACCGCAUAAGCGCACAGUCUCGCAUGGGACAGUGUGAAAAACUGAGGUGGUGUGAGAUGGAUCCGCGUCUGAUUAGGCAGUUGGCGGGGUAACGGCCCACCAAACCGACGAUCAGUAGCCGGCCUGAGAGGGUGAACGGCCACAUUGGGACUGAGACACGGCCCAAACUCCUACGGGAGGCAGCAGUGGGGAAUAUUGCACAAUGGGGGAAACCCUGAUGCAGCGACGCCGCGUGAAGGAAGAAGUAUUUCGGUAUGUAAACUUCCAUCAGCAGGGAAGAAAAUGACGGUACCUGACUAAGAAGCCCCGGCUAACUACGUGCCAGCAGCCGCGGUAAUACGUAGGGGGCAAGCGUUAUCCGGAUUUACUGGGUGUAAAGGGAGCGUAGGCGGCGAUGCAAGUCAGAAGUGAAAGCCCGGGGCUCAACUCCGGGACUGCUUUUGAAACUGUAUGGCUAGAUUGCAGGAGAGGCAAGUGGAAUUCCUAGUGUAGCGGUGAAAUGCGUAGAUAUUAGGAGGAACACCAGUGGCGAAGGCGGCUUGCUGGACUGUAAAUGACGCUGAGGCUCGAAAGCGUGGGGAGCAAACAGGAUUAGAUACCCUGGUAGUCCACGCCGUANACGAUGAAUACUAGGUGUCAGGGAGCAAAGCNCUUUGGUGCCGCAGCAAACGCAAUAAGUAUUCCACCUGGGGAGUACGUUCGC
rnacentral:rRNA from 1 species